AUCUACAGGCUAGGUGGAAGAGCCUGCGGGAUACAUUCACGAAAAAGUACCGGAUGCACAAACACGGCGCCCCGAGUGGCUCAGGUGCAAGUGACGCGAAGGGAAUCAAUGAUGCAAGCGUGAGCUGGCCUUAUUUCACCUUGCUGAAGUUCUUAAAAGAUCAGGCGGAAGUGGCCAGUACCAUAUCCAACAUUUCUCAGCCGGCUGCGACUGAAACCGCUGAGGAAGUGUUCGAGAGAUUGUACAACACUGGAGGAGCGCAGGAAGAACAGGAGGACGAGAUUUGCAGUGCCCCUACAAGCUUCGUAGAAGAAAGUAGUGUUGAGGCAAGGACGUCGAAUAGUGACGACACAGCAGCAUUACACUCCAGCUCCAUAAAACUUGUAUCAGAACCUUCGAGGAGGAGGCGAGCCCAGAAGGCAAACAGGGGUACGUGGGAACAAGAACUGGACAGAGUUGACGCCCAAAUAGUCGCUAACAGCGACAAAGGAGCCUUGUACGGACAGCUGUUGGCAGAAAAGUUUCGC